rnacentral:rRNA from 1 species
GUCGAGCAGGGUCGAAAGACGGACUUAGUGAUCCGGUGGUUCCGCAUGGAAGGGCCAUCGCUCAACGGAUAAAAGCUACCCCGGGGAUAACAGGCUUAUCUCCCCCAAGAGUUCACAUCGACGGGGAGGUUUGGCACCUCGAUGUCGGCUCAUCGCAUCCUGGGGCUGUAGUCGGUCCCAAGGGUUGGGCUGUUCGCCCAUUAAAGCGGUACGCGAGCUGGGUUCAGAACGUCGUGAGACAGUUCGGUCCCUAUCCGUCGUGGGCGUAGGAAAUUUGAGAGGAGCUGUCCUUAGUACGAGAGGACCGGGAUGGACAUACCUCUGGUGUACCAGUUGUCGUGCCAACGGCAUAGCUGGGUAGCUAUGUGUGGACGGGAUAAGUGCUGAAAGCAUCUAAGCAUGAAGCCCCCCUCAAGAUGAGAUUUCCCAACUUCGGUUAUAAGAUCCCUCAAAGAUGAUGAGGUUAAUAGGUUCGAGGUGGAAGCAUGGUGACAUGUGGAGCUGACGAAUACUAA